AGCAGCCGCGGUAAUUCCAGCUCCAAUAGCGUAUAUUAAAGUUGUUGCAGUUAAAAAGCUCGUAGUUGAAUUUCGGGAUCAAUACGUCGGUCGUGCUUCGGUACGUACUGGCGUCAUUGGUUUCUCCCUUCUGACGAACCACGAUGUCAUUAACUUGGUGUCAUGGGAAAUCAGGACUGUUACUUUGAAAAAAUUAGAGUGUUUAAAGCAGGCUCACGCUUGAAUACAUUAGCAUGGAAUAAUGAAAUAGGACGUUCGAUCCUAUUUUGUUGGUUUCUAGGAUCAACGUAAUGAUUAAUAGGGAUAGUUGGGGGCAUUAGUAUUCAAUUGUCAGAGGUGAAAUUCUUGGAUUUAUUGAAGACUAACUACUGCGAAAGCAUUUGCCAAGGAUGUUUUCAUUAAUCAAGAACGAAAGUUAGGGGAUCGAAGACGAUCAGAUAUCGUCGUAGU
rnacentral:rRNA from 1 species